rnacentral:rRNA from 1 species
GAUGAACGCUGGCGGCGUGCCUAAUACAUGCAAGUCGAGCGAACAGACGAGGAGCUUGCUCCUCUGACGUUAGCGGCGGACGGGUGAGUAACACGUGGAUAACCUACCUAUAAGACUGGGAUAACUUCGGGAAACCGGAGCUAAUACCGGAUAAUAUAUUGAACCGCAUGGUUCAAUAGUGAAAGACGGUUUUGCUGUCACUUAUAGAUGGAUCCGCGCCGCAUUAGCUAGUUGGUAAGGUAACGGCUUACCAAGGCAACGAUGCGUAUCCGACCUGAGAGGGUGAUCGGCCACACUGGAACUGAGACACGGUCCAGACUCCUACGGGAGGCAGCAGAAGGGAAUCUUCCGCAAUGGGCGAAAGCCUGACGGAGCAACGCCGCGUGAGUGAUGAAGGUCUUCGGAUCGUAAAACUCUGUUAUUAGGGAAGAACAAAUGUGUAAGUAACUAUGCACGUCUUGACGGUACCUAAUCAGAAAGCCACGGCUAACUACGUG